CUCUCGGACCGAUUGUGGAACCAGCUAUAGUCCAGCUAGGCUCCGAUUCCGAUGUUGAAAGUGAAUUGCCAACUCUACCAGGCAAUACCUAUAAUUGUCCGGAAUCUUUUGGAAUCAUCUGAAACCUGGAAACGUUCUGAAUCGUCCUGAAUCGUCCUGAAGCGUCGUAGAAACUGCUCCGAUUUCUCCUCCGAAGCAAGAUCCAUAAAGUACUACAUGUCCUGUGUAGGAACGUGCCAUCUGGACCAUCUGAUCGCUCCAUACACUUUUAGAGGUAUGGUUAAUGGCCCAAGACAAACAUCCUCCAAUGUAGUCUAUAUUACAUUGGACGUUAUAAAACUCUUGUCGAUUUGGUAGAAAGUAUCCCAAGUAUCACAAAAUCAACAUGCUUUUUUAUGGUCUGUUGAGAAGACUUUAAAAAUGUAUUGGUUGCUGAAUCGUAUCAUCGACGAACUGACAAACUAAUGGAAUCGUAACAUUUGGAGUCGCAUUUGCUAACAAAACUGAAUACAAAAUAAUCCCACCUUAAUCUGAAGUCAUCUUUACGGGCCAAACACGUGUCCAGAUUUGGAAAUAAAUACGAAACCGUUCUACAAUGGCGUUGCUUUCGGUUUCGAACGAUUCCGCACGAUUCCUUCGAUUCGGAAUCAGCUCCACAA